GACGAACGCUGGCGGCGUGCCUAAUACAUGCAAGUAGAACGCUGAAGGAGGAGCUUGCUUCUCUGGAUGAGUUGCGAACGGGUGAGUAACGCGUAGGUAACCUGCCUGGUAGCGGGGGAUAACUAUUGGAAACGAUAGCUAAUACCGCAUAAGAGUAGAUGUUGCAUGACAUUUGCUUAAAAGGUGCAAUUGCAUCACUACCAGAUGGACCUGCGUUGUAUUAGCUAGUUGGUGAGGUAACGGCUCACCAAGGCGACGAUACAUAGCCGACCUGAGAGGGUGAUCGGCCACACUGGGACUGAGACACGGCCCAGACUCCUACGGGAGGCAGCAGUAGGGAAUCUUCGGCAAUGGACGGAAGUCUGACCGAGCAACGCCGCGUGAGUGAAGAAGGUUUUCGGAUCGUAAAGCUCUGUUGUAAGAGAAGAACGAGUGUGAGAGUGGAAAGUUCACACUGUGAUGGUAUCUUACCAGAAAGGGACGGCUAACUACGUG
rnacentral:rRNA from 1 species